GAAACACAACGUUUUCAAUUACGUAGCUGACCUUCCGUCUCCUUCAUCGCAAGAACUCAUUAACAGAUCAAUCUAUCACCCAUUAAUAUUUCGCCCACGAUUUGGAUUCAAUGCGAUAUUUUUGUUGUUCAAGGCGGUGGAAACGACUAUAAGAAGUGGUGUAGUUUUGUAUGAGAUUAGGAGGACACAAGAGCUUGCCAUCUUCCAUCAACACAAAAUCCUCCUUGAUUCUAAGGGGACCGGGCCAGAGCCAUAACCAUGGACUCCCAGAUCUUACUCUGUCGGACAGAUCUUCCAAGCAUCUCACCGUUGCGGAGAUUCUUGCUUGGCUUAACAACGGCAGCAGUGAAAAUGGCGGUUCUUGGUUGGCUCAACGGUGAGAGUCCGCCUUCACUAAGAUUUCAUCUAGAGACACACACGUUUCUUUGAUCUUGUACACUAGAGCAUCAAUCAAGGACUUGCACAUUUGAAAAAGAUGAAGAAGCAGUAUAUGGUGGUGCUGCAUAUGUGUCCGUGGAGGACCAGAAGAAGCGCGUUUAGCUAUGGAGAGUACUUGGAACUUAUAGAGUGUGAGUAUGAUCUCAAGAGAUGUGUAGACUUUUACAAGCUGAGUCACAACGUCCCCAAUUCUGAUGAAUAAACCUCUUAUCUUAUACUCAUGUAAGUGACCUUACAAAGGAAGAUGAUCCCCUGAAUCCAGCUGUAACUAGGGUGAUGGUGUAAGGGAAUGUAGGAAACAGAAACCACAGUUUUCAAAGUUGUAACCUGGUGAUGACUGAGCCCACUGUAGGAACUGUUGAGAAAGAGUUGGCGACAGCAAAGUAAUAAGAACAGACGAGAGAGAAUGAGAUGGAUGAGAAGAGAGGACACACCACAAGAGAAGCUGCAUAGAUGCUGGAGACUUAUAGAGAUGGAGGCGGUGUCUCUCAACUCAAAAGAGGGGCAGAAUAUGGUGGAGGUUGUAAACGCCUACACGUCUAUUUCAACUUCUAGAAUAACCACAAUAUGUGACAAGAAUAAGUCACAAUUUUAUAUUUUACUAUAUUUGAUUCAACUUAAUAGAUUUAUUGUACCAAACGAAAACCAAUAUUUUCAAUUUGUCUUUCAAUGGAAAACACUUCUUAUGUAA